GCACCACAAGAGCGUGGAGCAUGUGGCUUAAUUUGACUCAACGCGGGGAAUCUUACCGGGUCCGGACACACUGAGGAUUGACAGACAAUUGUCCUUUUGGCUUAAAAGACAAAAGAUAACAGAUCUUUCAUGAUUAUGUGAUGGGUGGUGCAUGGCCGUUCUUAGUUCGUGGAGUGAUCUGUCUGCUUAAUUGCGUUUCAAAUAUACUUUUUUUACAACGAGUCUACAAAGGAGUGGUUCAGUUACAACAGACAAUUAAUUCUUGUGUUUUGAACGUUUGGAAUGUACUCUAUUUGGCUCAAUUGAACGCAACGGACGUGAUCGCAAGUCCUUGUUGAACUUCAGUAUAUAUUGACUUUCCCCGUAGGAAGGGAUUGCCAAUAAUUGAAUGUUCGCUUUCUAUUGGUGUGUGAUCUCAAAAUUGCAUGUAUUUGUGAUGGCGAGUGAUCUAAUCCCUUAGGAAAACUUGGGCGACCGCUGUAAUACUUCUCUUUAAAACAGAGGCAGGUUGC
rnacentral:rRNA from 1 species